ACACUGUCGAGAAAAGCCUCUAGCUAGAGAUUUGGCGCCCGUACCGCAAACCGACACAGGUAGUCAAGAUGAGAAUUCUAAGGUGAGCGAGAGAACUCUCGUUAAGGAACUCGGCAAAAUGACCCCGUAACUUCGGGAGAAGGGGUGCUCUUUAGGGUUCACGCUCUGAAGAGCCGCAGUGAAUAGGCCCAAGCGACUGUUUAUCAAAAACACAGGUCUCUGCUAAACCGUAAGGUGAUGUAUAGGGGCUGACGCCUGCCCGGUGCUGGAAGGUUAAGAGGAGUGGUUAGCUUCUGCGAAGCUACGAAUCGAAGCCCCAGUAAACGGCGGCCGUAACUAUAACGGUCCUAAGGUAGCGAAAUUCCUUGUCGGGUAAGUUCCGACCCGCACGAAAGGCGUAACGAUUUGGGCACUGUCUCAACGAGAGACUCGGUGAAAUCAUAGUACCUGUGAAGAUGCAGGUUACCCGCGACAGGACGGAAAGACCCCGUGGAGCUUUACUGUAGCCUGAUAUUGAAAUUCGGCACAGCUUGUACAGGAUAGGUAGGAGCCUUAGAAACGUGAGCGCCAGCUUACGUGGAGGCGUUGGUGGGAUACUACCCUAGCUGUGUUGGAUUUCUAACCCGCGCCAUUGAUCAUGGCGGGAGACAGUGUCAGGCGGGCAGUUUGACUGGGGCGGUCGCCUCCUAAAGUGUAACGGAGGCGCUCAAAGGUUCCCUCAGAAUGGUUGGAAAUCAUUCAUAGAGUGUAAAGGCAUAAGGGAGCUUGACUGCGAGACCUACAAGUCGAGCAGGGUCGAAAGACGGACUUAGUGAUCCGGUGGUUCCGCAUGGAAGGGCCAUCGCUCAACGGAUAAAAGCUACCCCGGGGAUAACAGGCUUAUCUCCCCCAAGAGUUCACAUCGACGGGGAGGUUUGGCACCUCGAUGUCGGCUCAUCGCAUCCUGGGGCUGUAGUCGGUCCCAAGGGUUGGGCUGUUCGCCCAUUAAAGCGGUACGCGAGCUGGGUUCAGAACGUCGUGAGACAGUUCGGUCCCUAUCCGUCGUGGGCGCAGGAAGUUUGAGAGGAGCUGUCCUUAGUACGAGAGGACCGGGAUGGACAUACCUCUGGUGUACCAGUUGUCGUGCCAACGGCAUAGCUGGGUAGCUAUGUAUGGACGGGAUAAGUGCUGAAAGCAUCUAAGCAUGAAGCCCCCCUCAAGAUGAGACUUCCCAACUUCGGUUAUAAGAUCCCUCAAAGAUGAUGAGGUUAAUAGGUUCGGGGUGGAAGCAUAGCGAUAUGUGGAGCUGACGAAUACUAAUCGAUCGAAGACUUAAUC
rnacentral:rRNA from 1 species